ACAAUUACUUCUAGGAGUCCUAGCUCUUAUUUUGAAAUUUAUCGCUUUAGUGGUUACGGGAAGUACUUUCCUUAUUUGUGGGCUUGCAGUGGCUAGCUUCCACAGAAGUGUUUCACAAUUCACAUUGUAUUUGGCCGUGUUCUUGGGGAGAAAAGACAAAGAUACAGAACGUGUAAGUACAAAAAUAAAAGGUGGUGUUUAAUCGUGGGUAAAAUGAAGAAUUGUGUAGCUUUUCAGAAACAGAUAGCUUCCAUUAUGGAAGUACUAGCCAAAGCAGCUGUGGCCGAAAUAAGCAAACUUGUUGAAGAUGGGUCCGUUGUGUUGCAUCUGGAAGUAUCCCGAAGCCAUAAAGAAAUUGACAGUCUGAGGAGGAAACUACAGCAGGUGGAGAGCGAGCUUAGGACGGCGCGAGACGCGGCAGCCCGAGAGAGCCGCUCUAUUGGAGUCCAGGUUGAGGACAAGUUUGGAGGGGCAGAAGGAGUGUUUCCCACAGGAGUUGUAGUUUGUGGUGAUGAUGCUGGAGAGAGAUGUCCCUUUGAACAGAAGCAGUUUGAAGAGGAAUGUGUUGCACAGACGUGCAACACGCAGCCUGUUUUUGGAUUUACGGUGAAGGCAGAGCAAGAGGAAGAGCAUGUAGCCCAGAGACUCAAUCAGACAGGAUGUGAACACAGUGCAGGAAGACUCAACAAUCUGGGCUCUGAGUAUGUAAUGUAUGAGAGAGACAGUCAGCUGUGGACGUCCUUUACACAUGAUGACAGUGACAUAGAGACAUGUGAUGCAGUUUGUUCUGACACUACAGAACAGUGCUCACAAAAUCUGUCAAUUCACACACAACUACAACAUGCUCCUGCCACAAUGGAAGUCUCUGGAAGCACACUAUCCUCCUUGGGGAAAGAGGUUCAUGCUGCAGAUGGUGUUCUUGUGAAAGAGGAAGCAGGUGGGCAGUGUUCAUACAGUGAAGAGAACAGAUCUGAGAUUGGUGGCACACAGCAGACAGAGUACAGACAGCCUCCGCUCUCGAUGAAUGAUCAUCUAACCUCGCAGCUCUGGCAACCGCUGCAGCAGCCCUUAGACUGGCAAAUAGGAAUUACUGAGAACAUCACAGAUCCAGUCUCAAACAUCAGCAAAAAGACCAGAAUCCACUGGAGAACUGGUACAGGGGAGAAACCUCACAGCUG